AUGGGUUCGACGGGGGGAGUGAAGAGGCGGGAGGCAUCGUCGUCCUCGGCAGCAAAAGAGGAUGAUAAGCUGAUUGUGACUCCCUUGGGAGCCGGAAACGAAGUUGGUCGGUCUUGCGUUUACAUGUCCUACAAGGGCAAAACUGUCUUGUUCGAUUGCGGGAUCCAUCCCGCUUUCUCCGGCAUGGCUGCUCUCCACUCUUCUUCUUGUUUCUUCCUCAUUUCAUCAUCUUCAUCUAUGUGUUCAUACUUGCUUCUACGUUUUGCAGUUUUCACUUGGAUCAUGCUGCUUCCCUACCUUACUUUCUUGAGAAGACCACAUUCAAAGGCCUAGUCUUUAUGACAUAUGCAACCAAGGCUAUCUAUAAGUUGCUUUUGACAGAUUAUGUGAAAGUCAGCAAAGUUUCUGUUGAAGAUAUGUUGUUCGACGAGCAGGACAUUAAUGCUUCUAUGGAUAAAAUUGAGGUUAUUGAUUUCCACCAAACAGUAGAAGUUGAGGGCAUUCGGUUUUGGUGCUACACUGCAGGUCAUGUCCUUGGUGCUGCUAUGUUUAUGGUUGAUAUUGCCGGUGUUAGGGUCCUCUAUACUGGAGAUUAUUCACGCGAAGAAGAUCGACACCUCCGUGCUGCUGAGACUCCACAGUUCUCGCCUGAUAUAUGCAUUAUUGAAUCCACAUAUGGUGUCCAGCACCAUCAACCUCGAAACAUCCGUGAGAAGCGAUUCACUGAAGCUAUACACACUGCUCUCUCUCGAGGGGGCCGUGUCUUAAUUCCUGCAUUUGCACUUGGCCGUGCCCAAGAACUUCUCCUGAUCCUUGAUGAGUAUUGGGCAAAUCAUCCAGAGCUUCAAAAUAUUCCUAUAUACUAUUCUUCCCCUCUGGCAAAAAGAUGUUUAUCUGUUUAUGAGACAUACACCCUCUCAAUGAAAGAUAGGAUCCGCAAUGCGAAGUCAAAUCCCUUCCUCUUUAAGUACAUAUCACCACUAAAGAGCAUUGAGAAUUUCAAAGAUGUAGGCCCCUCGGUCGUGAUGGCAAGCCCUGGUGGUCUUCAAAGCGGGUUGUCAAGGCAGCUUUUUGAUAUGUGGUGCUCUGAUAAGAGAAAUGCAUGUGUGAUUCCAGGUUUUGUGGUUGAGGGGACACUUGCAAAGACAAUCAUCAAUGAACCGAAAGAGGUCACCCUUAUGAAUGGGCUAGCUGCUCCGCUCAACAUGUCGGUACAUUACAUUUCAUUCUCUGCUCAUGCAGACUCUGUUCAGACAAGUGCAUUUUUGGAGGAGCUGAGGCCUCCUAACAUAAUCCUUGUUCAUGGAGAAGCUCAUGAGAUGGGAAGGCUGAAAGAGAAGCUCAUGACUCAGUUUCGUGAUCGCAACACCAAAAUCCUCACACCAAAGAAUUGUCAGUCUGUUGAGAUGUAUUUCAACUUGCAGAAAAUGGCUAAAGCUAUUGGAAGGGUUGCUGAGAAGACCCCGGAAGUUGGAGAAAAAGUAAGCGGUUUACUGGUAAAAAAAGGUUUCAGUUAUCAGAUUAUGGCUUCCGAAGAUCUUCAUGUUUUCUCGCAGCUGUCAACGGCAAAUGUCACGCAGGGUAUUACUAUCCCGUAUACUACGUACUGGCUUUAUGGUGAUAAAACAUCGGUUGAGGCAAAUAUAUGAAAGCGUAGAAUCUUCUGCGGAUGAAGAAUCUGGAGUGCCAACGUUAAAGGUGCAUGAUCUAGUGACUGUGAGGCAAGAUACAGAUAAACAUGUCUCACUGCAUUGGAUGUCAGAUCCUAUGAGUGACAUGGUUUCGGACUCCAUCAUGGCUUUAAUUUUGAAUAUCAACAGAGAAGUCCCCAAGGUAGUCAUUGAAUCCAAGGACAUAAAAACAGAGGAAGAGAAUGGGAAGAAAACAGAAAAGGUCAUUCAUGCACUUCUUGUAUCACUCUUUGGGGAUGUGAAGCCUGGAGAAAAUGGGAAGUUGGUGAUCAGUGUUGAUGGAAAUGUGGCACUGCUUGAUAAACAGAGUGGGGACGUUGAGAGUGAAAAUGAAGGCCUCAAGGAAAGAGUAAAGACAGCAUUUCGUCGUAUCCAAAGUGCAGUGAAGCCAAUUUUUCUUUCUGCGUCGUAG